rnacentral:rRNA from 1 species
GACGAACGCUGGCGGCGUGCCUAAUACAUGCGAGUCGAACGAACCGCGACUAAGUGCUUGCACUAAGUCAAGGUGAGUGGCGAACGGGUGAGUAACACGUGGGUAACCUACCUCAUAGUGGGGGAUAACAGUCGGAAACGACUGCUAAUACCGCAUAGGACAUAGGAUCACAUGAUCCAGUGAGGAAAGGUGGCGCAAGCUAUCGCUAAGAGAUGGACCCGCGGUGCAUUAGCUAGUUGGUAGGGUAAAGGCCUACCAAGGCGAUGAUGCAUAGCCGACCUGAGAGGGUGAUCGGCCACAUUGGGACUGAGACACGGCCCAAACUCCUACGGGAGGCAGCAGUAGGGAAUCUUCCGCAAUGGACGCAAGUCUGACGGAGCAACGCCGCGUGAGUGAAGAGGGUCUUCGGAUCGUAAAGCUCUGUUGUUAGAGAAGAACAGCGCAUAGAGUAACUGCUAUGCGUGUGACGGUAUCUAACCAGAAAGCCACGGCUAACUACGUG